rnacentral:rRNA from 1 species
CCCCAGACUCCUACGGGAGGCAGCAGUGGGUAAUAUUGCACAAUGUUGGAAACCCUGAUUCAGCGACGCCGCGUGAUCGAUGAAGUAUUUCGGUAUGUAAAUCUCUAUCAGCAGGGAAGAAAAUGACGGUACCUGACUAAGAAGCCCCGGCUAACUACGUGCCAGCAGCCGCGGUAAUACGUAGGGGGCAAGCGUUAUCCGGAUUUACUGGGUGUAAAGGGAGCGUAGACGGCGGUGCAAGCCAGAUGUGAAAGCCCGGGGCUCAACCCCGGGACUGCAUUUGAAACUGUGCGGCUGGAGUGUAGGAGAGGCAGGCGGAAUUCCUAGUGUAGCGGUGAAAUGCGUAGAUAUUAGGAGGAACACCAGUGGCGAAGGCGGCCUGCUGGACGAUAACUGACGUUGAGGCUCGAAAGCGUGGGGAGCAAACAGGAUUAGAUACCCCUGUA